UACAGAGGUCUCAAGCGUUGUUCGGAUUCAUUGGGCGUAAAGGGUGCGUAGGCGGCGCGGUAAGUCGGGUGUGAAAUCUCGGAGCUUAACUCCGAAACUGCAUUCGAUACUGCCGUGCUUGAGGACUGGAGAGGAGACUGGAAUUUACGGUGUGGCGGUGAAAUGCGUAGAUAUCGUAAGGAAGACCAGUGGCGAAGGCGGGUCUCUGGACAGUUCCUGACGCUGAGGCAUGAAGGUCAGGGGAGCAAACGGG
rnacentral:rRNA from 1 species